rnacentral:rRNA from 1 species
AGAGUUUGAUCCUGGCUCAGGACGAACGCUGGCGGCGUGCUUAACACAUGCAAGUCGAACGGAUAGGCCCUUCGGGGUACUCGAGUGGCGAACGGGUGAGUAACACGUGGGUGAUCUGCCCUGCACUUUGGGAUAAGCCUGGGAAACUGGGUCUAAUACCGAAUAUGACCAUGCGCCUCCUGGUGUGUGGUGGAAAGCUUUUGCGGUGUGGGAUGGGCCCGCGGCCUAUCAGCUUGUUGGUGGGGUAAUGGCCUACCAAGGCGACGACGGGUAGCCGGCCUGAGAGGGUGACCGGCCACACUGGGACUGAGAUACGGCUCAGACUCCUACGGGAGGCAGCAGUGGGGAAUAUUGCACAAUGGGCGCAAGCCUGAUGCAGCGACGCCGCGUGAGGGAUGACGGCCUUCGGGUUGUAAACCUCUUUCAGCACAGACGAAGCGCAAGUGACGGUAUGUGCAGAAGAAGGACCGGCCAACUACGUGCCAGCAGCCGCGGUAAUACGUAGGGUCCGAGCGUUGUCCGGAAUUACUGGGCGUAAAGAGCUCGUAGGUGGUUUGUCGCGUUGUUCGUGAAAACUCACAGCUUAACUGUGGGCGUGCGGGCGAUACGGGCAGACUUGAGUACUGCAGGGGAGACAGGAAUUCCUGGUGUAGCGGUGGAAUGCGCAGAUAUCAGGAGGAACACCGGUGGCGAAGGCGGGUCUCUGGGCAGUAACUGACGCUGAGGAGCGAAAGCGUGGGGAGCGAACAGGAUUAGAUACCCUGGUAGUCC